rnacentral:lncRNA from 1 species
GGUGAAGUUUUUUUUGGGUGAAGCUUUUUUAGGUGAAGCUUUUUGGGUGAAGCUUUGAUGGUGAAGCUUUGUAGAUGAAGCUUUGUAGAUGAAGCUUUCGAGGUGAAGCUUUGAUGGUGAAGCUUUGUAGGUGAAAGUAUGUAGAGGGAGCUUUCUAGGUGAAGCUUUUUUAGGUGAAGUUGUGUAGGUGAAGCUUUUUUAAGUGAAGCUUUUCGGGUGAAGUUUUUUGGGUGAAGCUUUGUGGGUGAAGCUUUUUAGGUGAAGCUUUGUGGGUGAAGCUUUUUUAGGUGAAGCUGUUUGGGUGAAGCUUUUUGGAGGUGAAGUUUUUUUUUUUUUUUUUUUUUUUUUUUUUUUUUUUUUUGGUGAAGCUUUUUGGGUGAAACUUUUUGGAUGAAGCUUUUUGGGUGAAGUUUUGGAGGUGAAGCUUUUU